rnacentral:lncRNA from 1 species
GUCCGUUUGUAGUCUGUAAUAGUUUGCAAGUUUUGCCACAUCUGACGAGCGUCGGAGCCGGUGUAGUACGAUUCGAUCUUAGUCCUGUAUUGAGAUUUGACUGUUUGAUGGUUCGUCGGAGGGCAUAGCGGGAUUUAUUUUAAGCUUCCGGGUUAGAGUCCCGCUCCUUGAAAGUGGCAGCUCUACCCUAGCUCAGUGCAAAUGUUGCCUGUAAUCCAUGGCUUCUGGUUGGGGUAUGUAUAUAGCCUGUACUUUGCCCAUAGAAACAGUCUGAGUACUGAUUAUAAAAAACAUAAUUGUAUUAUUGGCCUUUUUGAAUGCCUAGAAAUCAAUAAUAAAGGUUAUCCAUUUGUUGUUAGAAAUACAUCAUAAGAUGUAGGCUGUGUCUUCUUAUAUACGAUCCAGUUAACUAGCCAAUGCAUCAACAUUCUCUAUUAUCUCAGCAAAUUCUCUUCACAGUUAAAUAUUUGUAUCAGGUUCGCUCUCCCCUUGUCUCCCUUCAUCACCCCCUCCUUCUUUCUUCCUCUUUCCCCCUCUGUUGGUUUCUCUCACUUUCCAUUUGACAAAGGCCCAAUGCUUUGUCUGUUGUCUGUCUGGAUAUUCUGAAGUCAUGCAGUGGAUUGUAGACGCCCAUCAUCGUAUCCAAAACAUGAUGGAUUAUACCCCGUGAAGCUGUAGUCCAAUCCAUCAUUCAUGUACUUUCGAGGUAUUGAAUUGACAUGAAAAUGUUGGUCUUCGCCGAGGGUUAUCUCUCAACUCAUGCCUAAACUUUCGAAACCUGUCGUUAUUCCAUGAAGAAGAGCGAGUCCUUGCAUUCCGAUUAUGUGCUAGCACAUGAUUUGGAAAAGUACACCCUCUUCAGCAUACGGAUACCGUGCCUGUGGCACCAUCCAGCAGCAGCAUCCCAAGCACUUUCCGGGAUACUGUGCCUGUGGCACCAUCCAGCAGCAGCAUUCCAAGCACUUUCCGGGAUACUGUUCCGGUGGCACCAUCCAGCAGCAGCAACCCAAGCAGUUACCGGAAUUCUACCAAUGGCACAUGUUGUCCAAAACCGCUCACCAACAAAAUCCGUGCUUAUUUCCGCAGCCGAAGGGCAGCUUGUAAUCAUGCCCACGAUGCGAUAA